UUUGAUCCUGGCUCAGAUUGAACGCUGGCGGCAGGCCUAACACAUGCAAGUCGAGCGGCAGCACGGGAAGCUUGCUUCCUGGUGGCGAGCGGCGGACGGGUGAGUAAUGCAUAGGAAUCUGCCCGGUAGUGGGGGAUAACCUGGGGAAACCCAGGCUAAUACCGCAUACGUCCUACGGGAGAAAGCAGGGGCUCUUCGGACCUUGCGCUAUCGGAUGAGCCUAUGUCGGAUUAGCUGGUUGGUGAGGUAAUGGCUCACCAAGGCGACGAUCCGUAGCUGGUCUGAGAGGAUGAUCAGCCACAUCGGGACUGAGACACGGCCCGAACUCCUACGGGAGGCAGCAGUGGGGAAUAUUGGACAAUGGGCGCAAGCCUGAUCCAGCCAUGCCGCGUGUGUGAAGAAGGCCCUCGGGUUGUAAAGCACUUUCAGUGGGGAAGAACGCCUUCCGGUUAAUACCCGGGAGGAAGGACAUCACCCACAGAAGAAGCACCGGCUAACUCCGUGCCAGCAGCCGCGGUAAUACGGAGGGUGCGAGCGUUAAUCGGAAUUACUGGGCGUAAAGCGCGCGUAGGUGGCUUGAUAAGCCGGUUGUGAAAGCCCCGGGCUCAACCUGGGAACGGCAUCCGGAACUGUCAGGCUAGAGUGCAGGAGAGGAAGGUAGAAUUCCCGGUGUAGCGGUGAAAUGCGUAGAGAUCGGGAGGAAUACCAGUGGCGAAAGGCGGCCUUCUGGACUGACACUGACACUGAGGUGCGAAAGCGUGGGUAGCAAACAGGAUUAGAUACCCUGGUAGUCCACGCCGUAACGAUGUCGACUAGCCGUUGGGUCCUUCGCGGACUUUGUGGCGCAGUUAACGCGAUAAGUCGACCGCCUGGGGGAGUACG
rnacentral:rRNA from 1 species